rnacentral:rRNA from 1 species
AUAAACGCUGGCGGCGUGCCUAACACAUGCAAGUCGAGCGGGAAAGUCCUUCGGGAUGAGUACAGCGGCGGACGGGUGAGAAACGCGUAAGAAUCUGCCCUUCAGUGAGGAAUACCUCCGAGAAAUCGGGGUUAAUACUGCAUACGUCCCUUCGGGGAGAAAGAUGGCCUCUUUGCUGUCGCUGAUGGAUGAGCUUGCGUACUAUUAGCUAGUUGGUGAGGUAAAGGCUCACCAAGGCGAUGAUGGUUAACCGGCCUGAGAGGGUGUUCGGUCACAUUGGAACUGAGAUACGGUCCAGACUCCUACGGGAGGCAGCAGUGGGGAAUCUUGCGCAAUGGGCGAAAGCCUGACGCAGCGACGCCGCGUGGAGGAUGAAGGUCUUCGGAUUGUAAACUUCUGUUAAGUGGGAAAAAAGAAUCAUUCUUAAUACGAAUGAGAGAUGAUGGUACCACUAGAGAAAGCACCGGCUAAUCUCGU